GACGAACGCUGGCGGCGUGCUUAACACAUGCAAGUCGAACGCUGAAGCUCAGCUUUUGUUGGGUGGAUGAGUGGCGAACGGGUGAGUAACACGUGAGUAACCUGCCUCCUUCUUUGGGAUAACGCCCGGAAACGGGUGCUAAUACUGGAUAUUCACUGGUCUUCGCAUGGGGGUUGGUGGAAAGGGUUUUUCUGGUGGGGGAUGGGCUCGCGGCCUAUCAGCUUGUUGGUGGGGUGAUGGCCUACCAAGGCUUUGACGGGUAGCCGGCCUGAGAGGGUGACCGGUCACAUUGGGACUGAGAUACGGCCCAGACUCCUACGGGAGGCAGCAGUGGGGAAUAUUGCACAAUGGGCGCAAGCCUGAUGCAGCGACGCCGCGUGAGGGAUGGAGGCCUUCGGGUUGUGAACCUCUUUCGCUCAUGGUCAAGCCGCAACAAUGGUUGUGGUGAGGGUAGUGGGUAAAGAGGCGCCGGCUAACUACGUG
rnacentral:rRNA from 1 species